AGACAGGGUCUCUCCACGUUGGUCAGUCUGGUCUCGAACUCCCGACCUCAAGUGAUCUACCCACCUCAGCCUCCCAAUGUGCUGGGAUUACAGGUGUGAGCCACCGCUCCUGGCUCUGCUGAUGUAUUUACUGGGACAUAGAUGAAUCUGGAGAAUGUCAUCCUCAGCAAACUGACACAAGAACAGAAAAUGAAACACCGCAUAUUCUCACUCAUAGAGAAUCACUGGCUCCUUUGGAAAAGGGAGACUCCAGGAAAGUCACCAACAGCAUGAUCUUUGCUACCAAAUCCACCCACCAGAGCUGCUGUGACUACAGGCCGAUGGACUCCAGAGCUGCCCUGUUGCUGAAGAACUUCCCUCAGCCACACAGGAGCUGCUGGACCUGCCCUGCCCAGGAGACUCCGCCACAUCCUCAUCCAUCUGCCCCUGGUCUUCUGACGACUAACUCACAGGGAAGGAGAAAAAGGCCAGCCCCCUCUCCUCAAAGGGACUGACUCUGUGUGGCCAUUCAUGCUCCAGAGCAUCUUCAUGGGAUUAGACUGAAGCCAGGCUGCAGCUGAGAUCACCUCCUCACUUAGCUUUAUCCUCCAUGCCAUCCUGCAUUCCUCACUCUGCUUCUCCUGAGAGUGUACAUCAGUGAAACACUGAAACAAGAACUUUCAUCUCAGGUUCUGGUUCUUGGGAACCCGAUUUAGAGCUCUAACUCAGAGCAUGGCAGAACUGAGCAGAAGGGAGACCCUCAGGGCAGGAGCAAAGAUGACACU
rnacentral:lncRNA from 1 species